rnacentral:tmRNA from 1 species
GGGGGUGAAACUGGUUUCGACGGGGUUAUUUGGUCUUUGAAUUGCACGUCGUGUUCGCCGUAGACACGUAAAACGACGGUACAAAAAAAUAAACGACGAAUAUAAUUACGCUUUAGCUGCGUAAAUAAAACUUAUGCAGCUCGUUCUUCUCGCCAUCGCGUAUUGUGGUGGGAAAGAACGACGUUUAGAUACGCUAGCCGAUCCGAGAGUCUGAGUAGGUGACGCGAAGUUUAAUCAGACUGGCAUCCGUUAACUCUGUCUGCUGAGGUUUUGGGUGUGAGAUUAAAAAACAGACUAAGCGUGUAGAAGUUCUCUGAUAGGUAAUUUCGGACGCGGGUUCGACUCCCGCCACCUCCAC